rnacentral:lncRNA from 1 species
GUUUCUACAAGAGCAGCGAGUGCUCUUAGCCACUGAGCCAUCUCUCUAGCCCUCUCCAUCUUGUGUAUUGAGCCAUGGCCUCUCACUGGCCUGGAGCUCACUGUUUUGUCUGGACUGAUGGGCUAGGGAGACCCAAGGAUCCCCUUGUCUCUAUCUAUCCCAGUGUUUGGGUUGCAGGUACAUGGCGCCACACUUGGCUUUGUACAUGUGUGCUGGGAUCUGAAUCCAAGUAGAUUUACUCAUACGCCGAGCAUCUCCGGAGCCAUCUCCACAGCCCAGUGAUUCCAGUCUUUACAAACAGGAAGGAGAUGGACCUAGAUACAAAGGUUCUGGUGCAGCAAAGGCGAGGUGACACAGAGCAAAGACUUGGCUUAUGCUUACAGAUCAUUCAGGGGUCUCCUCAUUUGAACCAAGAGCUUGAGAAUGUCCAAGUCUCUGUCACGAUGUCCUUGGGGCAGGUGCUGGGUUUCUAGUCAAGAAACUGAUAUCAUCUUUGUUAGGACUUGGAUCUAUUUGGAUACUUCCAGCUGGACAUUAGUCACCAUUUGUACUGAAGAAGAAAAUUAGUUCCAUUUUUUUUUCCUCUACUAGCUUUCUGGAUUCUUGUUUGGAUAGAAGCUUGAUUGCAGUAUAUUAUGACAAGUGGCCUUUAGAAUGUGUCAUUUUAUUUUGUCUCGCACUCCAAGGACCUGGAGUUUUCGGGCUGUGUCUCCCAAGCCAGCCUCUAAGCAGUUUCUUCUGAGGGCUGCGUGCUCUCCGUACACAAGGCCCUGACCUUGACUCAAGGCCAACAAGCCUAAGUGCUGUCCCAAGAGCAAGAUGCCCCCUCUGUGGGGCCUGGAAGUGGGGAGUUCUAUCUGCCACGGGUAUCUUGUGAAACUUUGCCAGCGUUGACCUUCCUUUCUUCUCCAGCUCAAAGAGACCAACCUCAAAGCUGGACACCCACCUGCAGGAUUUGAUGCCUGGCCUGGAGGCCUCCCUCUUUACCUCCACCCAUCUGUCUGAAAUUCCCAUCAUGGGAACCAGCUUUUCUUUAAUUCUGUUGUUAGGAUUCCCCACACAGGUGGACUUCCACCCAUAGGGAGGGUUUGGUGAAGCAGAUGCUGAUCUUCAAGUCUUGGAGGCAGCCCACUUUCCUGUGGGUAGGGAAGGGUACAUACAUGCAGGCAGGCACGGCCAGGGGCUCUGGUCAGGCUUUGAGGAUACCAACAGGCCAUUUUCUCAUGGCAUAAUUUCCUACAGCUGGCCUUGCUCUAGCCCAGUGCUUCCCAACCUUCCCAAUACUGUGGUCCUUUAAUAUAGUUCCUCAUGUUGUGGUGACCUCCAACCCUAAAAUUAUUUUCAUUGCUACUUUACAGCUUGGGACUCUUAAUGUAAAUAUCUGUGUUUUUCAAUUGUAUUAGGUAAUAUCUCUUCGAAAGGGUCUUUUGACCCCCAAAAGGGUCAAACGCACAUGUCCAGGAUGAUUGUAACAAUUCCAUAUCGGUCAUGUGUUCUAGAACAUGAGGGGAGAAGGGAUGGGUCAUUAGAAGUGGGAAAGCCUCUAGCUUCCUCCAUGGAUAAAGUGCUCCCUUCCUUCCACAGAAUGCCCUAGACUGCUUUCCAGGUCCCUUAGAGACCCAAGGUGUCCCCUCUGGGGGAACAAGUCCAGCUGAGAGCACUUCUUGUGCAAGUUCCUCUCCAGUCUUUCUCCCUUUGCCCCAUUGUCCCUGCAUCAUGAUCAUCAUGCCUUCUACAAACAGGGAGGAGAGAGGAAAAGAGGGAAGCAGUUGCUGUAGGCAAAGAAGGAGUGAGCUAGACUUGCUGCCACCAAGCUGCUGGUUUUCCUUCUGGCACGUGCUCUUUCAGAGGGAGUGUGGCGUCAUAUCUUGGGCACACCUGAGCAGAAGAUAGGAGUGAGGGCCUUGCCUGAAUCAGUUCUAGAAAGCAUGGUGGCACAAGGUUGUAUCAGGUAUAGAAUCCAGACCCAAGCACCUUAGUCCUCUGACAGAGAAGCUCUCUCCCAGUUACAGGGGAGGCAGUCAGUGUGAUUUAAUAAGCAGCCAGAAGGUAUACGCCCUUUCUGUUGCGUUCAAGGGUGCACAGACGCUCAGUCUGGGCCAGCAAAUCGUUGCUGUAGGGUACUUCCUUUAAUGAACACAAAGCUUGCAAAUGUUCUCUCAAAGAGCAUAAAAUAUUUAGCUGCGUAGAUAAAACUCCUCCGUAGUCCUGGUUGUACUGUGCCAUUCACCGAUAAAACAAAAAAAAAA